CAGGUGCAUGCCUCUAGCAUGAAGUCAGACAAGUGAACCUGCUGAAUUUAAGCAUAUCAAUAAGCGGAGGA
rnacentral:rRNA from 1 species